rnacentral:rRNA from 1 species
CAGAGGUCCCGAGCGUUGUUCGGAUUCACUGGGCGUAAAGGGUGCGUAGGUGGUGGGGUAAGUCGGAUGUGAAAUCUCCGGGCUCAACCCGGAAAAUGCAUUGGAAACUACCUUGCUAGAGGUUUUGAGGGAGGACUGGAAUUCUCGGUGUAGCAGUGAAAUGCGUAGAUAUCGAGAGGAACACCGGUGGCGAAGGCGAGUCCCUGGAAAACACCUGACACUGAGGCACGAAAGCUAGGGGAGCAAACAGGAUUAGAUACCCUGGUAGUCCUAGCCCUAAACGGUGCUUGCUUGCUGUAAGUGGAAUCGACCCCACUUGUGGCGGAGCUAACGCGUUAAGCAAGCCGCCUGGGAAGUACGGUCGCAAGAUUA